UACGUAGGGUGCGAGCGUUAAUCGGAAUUACUGGGCGUAAAGCGUGCGCAGGCGGUUGUGCAAGGCCGAUGUGAAAUCCCCGGGCUUAACCUGGGAACUGCAUUUGUGACUGCACGGCUAGAGUGCGGCAGAGGGGAGUGGAAUUCCGCGUGUAGCAGUGAAAUGCGUAGAUAUGCGGAGGAACACCGAUGGUGAAGGCAGCUCCCUGGGCCUGCACUGACGCUCAUGCACGAAAGCGUGGGGAGCAAACAGG
rnacentral:rRNA from 1 species